rfam:Hordeum vulgare subsp. vulgare, WGS project CAJW01000000 data, contig: morex_contig_56267
CAUAUACUCCCUCCGUCCCAAAUUCUUGUCUUAGGUUUGUUUAGAAAUGGAUGUAUCAAAAUACUAAAACGUGACNAGAUACAUUCAUAUCUAGACAAACCUAAGACAAGAAUUUUGGGUUGGAGGGAGUAUGAU